rnacentral:rRNA from 1 species
UACGAAGGGGGCGAGCGUUGUUCGGAUUUACUGGGCGUAAAGGGCGCGUAGGCGGCGCGAGAAGUCGAGUGUGAAAGCCCCGGGCUCAACCUGGGAAUUGCGCUCGAUACUCUUGUGCUUGAGUUCGGGAGAGGAGCGUGGAAUUCCCAGUGUAGAGGUGAAAUUCGUAGAUAUUGGGAAGAACACCGGUGGCGAAGGCGGCGCUCUGGACCGAGACUGACGCUGAGGCGCGAAGGUCAGGGGAGCAAACGGG